AUUGGGUGCUAUGCUGCAGUCGAGCGACGCAUGCCCAGUUCGUAAGAACAGGGUAUGACGGAGCGGCGAACGGGUGAGUAACACGUGAGCAACCUGCCCCACAGACCGGGAUAGCCCAAGGAAACUUGGAUUAAUACCGGAUUCCCUCGAACAAUCGCAUGGUUGAUCGAGGAAAGGCCUUUGUGCUGUGGGAUGGGCUCGCGGCUUAUCAGCUAGUUGGUGGGGUAAAGGCCUACCAAGGCAUCGACGAGUAGCUGGUCUGAGAGGACGAUCAGCCACACUGGAACUGAGACACGGUCCAGACUCCUACGGGAGGCAGCAGCAGGGAAUCUUGCGCAAUGGGCGAAAGCCUGACGCAGCAACGCCGCGUGGGGGAUGAAGGCCUUCGGGUUGUAAACCCCAUUCAGGAGGGAAGAAAUUGACGGUACCUCCAGAAGAAGGACCGGCCAACUACGUGCCAGCAGCCGCGGUAAUACGUAGGGUCCUAGCGUUAUCCGGAAUCAUUGGGCGUAAAGAGCUCGUAGGCGGUUCAGCAAGUCGGCUGUGAAAGUCCGAGGCUUAACCUCGGAAUUGCAGUCGAUACUGCUGUGACUCGAGUCCGGUAGAGGAGAAUGGAAUUCUCGGUGUAGCGGUGAAAUGCGCAGAUAUCGAGAGGAACACCAGUAGCGAAGGCGGUUCUCUGGGCCGGCACUGACGCUGAGGAGCGAAAGCGUGGGGAGCAAACAGGAUUAGAUACCCUGGUAGUCCACGCCGUAAACGUGGGAUACAAAGGUGUGGCGGGUUGUACCAACGACUGCCGUGCCGAAGCUAACGCAUUAAGUAUCCCGCCUGGGGAGUACGCGCAGCUAACUCAAAGUAGUGACGGUCCCCGCCACAAGCGGCGGGAGCAUGCGGCUUAAUUCGAAUGCA
rnacentral:rRNA from 1 species